rnacentral:rRNA from 1 species
CCUACGGGUGGCAGCAGUCGGGAAUUUUUCGCAAUGGGCGAAAGCCUGACGCAGCAACGCCGCGUGAUUGAUUAAGCCUUUCGGGAUGUAAAGAUCUGUCCGUGGGGACGAAAAUUGACGGUACCCACAGAGGAAACACCGGCUCACUCCGUGCUAGCAGCGGCGGUAAUACGGAGGGUGCAAGCGUUGUCCGGAAUCAGUGGGCGUAAAGAGUUCGUAGGUGGCAGCUUAAGUCUGGUGUUAAAUGCAGAAGCUCAACUUCUGUACGGCACUGGAUACUGGUAGGCUAGAAUGCGGUAGAGGUAAAGGGAAUUCCUGGUGUAGCAGUGAAAUGCGUAGAUAUCAGGAGGAACAACGGUGGCGUAAGCGCGUUACUGGGCCGUAAUUGACGCUGAGGAACGAAAGCCGGGGUAGCAAAUGGGAUUAGAUACCCGGGUAGUC